rnacentral:rRNA from 1 species
CGUAGGGAGCAAGCGUUGUCCGGAAUCAUUGGGCGUAAAGCGCGCGUAGGUGGCCCGGUAAGUCCGCUCUGAAAGUCAAAGGCUCAACCUUUGAAAGCGGGUGGAUACUGCCAGGCUAGAGUCCGGAAGAGGCGAGUGGAAUUCCUGGUGUAGCGGUGGAAUGCGCAGAUAUCAGGAGGAACACCAACGGCGAAGGCAGCUCGCUGGGACGGUACUGACACUAAGGCGCGAAAGCGUGGGGAGCGAACAGGAUUAGAUACCCUGGUAGUCCACGCCGUAAACGAUGGGAACUAGGUGUGGGAGGUGUCGACUCCUCCCGUGCCGGCGCUAACGCAUUAAGUUCCCCGCCUGGGGAGUACGGCCGCAAGGCUA